rnacentral:rRNA from 1 species
UACGAAGGGGGCUAGCGUUGCUCGGAUUUACUGGGCGUAAAGGGCGCGUAGGCGGACAGUUUAGUCAGAGGUGAAAGCCCAGGGCUCAACCUUGGAAUUGCCUUUGAUACUGGCUGUCUUGAGUACGGGAGAGGUGAGUGGAACUCCGAGUGUAGAGGUGAAAUUCGUAGAUAUUCGGAAGAACACCAGUGGCGAAGGCGACUCACUGGCCCGUUACUGACGCUGAGGCGCGAAAGCGUGGAGAGCAAA